rnacentral:tRNA from 1 species
GCCCGAGUGGUGAAAUCGGCAGACACAGCGGACUUAAAAUCCGUCGCCCUUUAGGGAAUGGGGGUUCAAGUCCCCCCUCGGGCA